rnacentral:lncRNA from 1 species
UGCAUGUCUUGCAGAAAUAUGCAGGAACAACUUAAGUUCACCUCCAUAGGUGAACACCUCUAGCCAGCGAUAUGCCUCAGUAUGGAAUGCAGCAGAGCUAAGUCAAUGCCUUAAUUACAGUAAAACAAAGGACACUCCUCUUCACCUAUCUGCCUCCGCUGGUUGCAUGUACUCAUGUCUAUAAAUCAAGACUUGCUUUCAUUUAAGAAAUACACAGCAUAGUUAAGACUAAUGGUAAAUAAAGGUCAUUAAACUAGAUUGACUGGACAUUUAUGUCAAGGUAUGGCAAGUUCAUUUAUAUAAAUAAUCUUGAUUGUUUUAUAACAAGCAAAUACAAUUUCCUCCUCUGGGAGCAGGUGCGGGAGGUGGUUUUAUUUGGUUGUUUGGAUUCUGAAAGUAACAUUCUGAAUAUGGGUGGGGAAAACGAGGAGAAAAUUAAAGUUGUCAUACUACAAAGUGCUUUCUGUAUCUGGGCAAUGCAAUCUUCAUUUCAUCAAAGGCUAAAACCGAAAUCCUGUCACUUGAAAGCUAAGGGAUUUGCCGACUGAGGUGGGAGUCUGCAGUUAGAACCUCAGCACUAAACACACAUAGCUGUUUACCUUGCUGGUGCCCUUGGAUCUGCGAUAUCCCCUGGAGAGCUUUAGAAAGAACCAACAAACAUCUAAGAACUAUUGAGUCAAGUCUUACCUUCCUUGGUUUCACUGCAAUCAUACUGGGACCUCCAGAGAUGCCAGUUAGAACCUUUGUUGGCCAUUGAUCAAAGGAGCAACUGUGCUGAAUCGAAACCUAGGAUGUCUUUUCCUUGGGAUAUGUGUGAGUCAUACUGACAAUGCCUAGAGAGUUUUAAAUAACCUCAUUAAACCUCGUUUCACCUUCUUUGCUACCAGUUAUUGCUGCUAACUGCCACUUCCAUGGAUGUUUAUAGCCUCUCUGCACAGUACAAAACAUUUAAUGUGAAAGAAAUAACAUGCAGGCAAAUGACCCUGCAACCACUCCAAAAGGGAAAGACUUCAGGACCUCCUCGUGCCUGAGGAAGAAGCAAGAAUGGGUAUAUCUGAUAUUUUUCCCUCUCACAAAGCAGCUCAGGCCCUGUAUUGCUCUGUACUUUUGGAUGUAAUACACUUGUGUCACAUUGCUCUCAUGUGUGACUGUCUUCAGAUCUGAAAUCAUCUCUUCCUCCAGGUGGAACAUGCUUUUCUCCGUAGAAAGAUCUCAGUAUAGGGGCAGAAACUGACUGAAUCAUGGUCUGUAUUGCAUUUUCUUCUCCUUGGUCUGAGAGAAAUUGGACAGAAAUGAGUGUUAUGUUCCAACAGUCUCUCUUUAUGUUCAUUGUCCUGGGAUAUGAUGUGGGCAAAGUAACAUUCUGAUCUGCAGUUGUUGAAACAUGACAGCUGGUGCACAGUGUUCUUUCUUUGAUUAAGAAAGGCUUAAACAAAACUUGCGGGACAUCCAGACAGCUCUCCUUCACAGGCUAUGGUGUGAUACAAGAUGUUUCACUGAAGAAAAUGGAACUACUCUGAGAUCAGAAUCAGGUCCAAGGUGAAAGAACAAUGAGUUCUUCUCAACAAUUCUUCGUCAGGUCCAUAUGGAAAGUAGUUAUGCUGCAGAGCAGCGUCAAAACAGCUUAUUAGUUAUAUCCUUCUUCCCUUCUGAGGCAGUUUAAAGGUUUAUGCUGCAUUUGUAGCAUAAGUUUCCGUAAGAAACACAUUCUGUUUGCAGCACAUCAGACUUGUGAAUCCCAAAUUCAUAAUACCAGCUAGUGAAUUCUAGAUGCUGUCUUGGAAACAAUAGUUUUGAGACCUUGUACUUGGAUCUUCCUCAGCCCACCUUCCAGAUCAUGUCCAUAAAACCUCUCCCAUGAUACCCUUCUUGCUGUCAGUUCAUUUUCAUCACAUUAGUGGUCAUCCUCCCGUUGAACUGAGAAAGAAGAAUAGGAAGAAUGUAUUCACCAAUUCUAAUCCAUGCUGAACACAUUUUCAUACGCUUAGGCAUCUUGAAGUCGGUAGGAACAUUUGCAUCAAAGUGUUUGCUGCAGGUAAGAAGCACAGACAAAGGCAAAUGAGAAGGGGUGCUGUGUUUGUUCCAUAUCAGCUGUCUCCUGCAGUGUCACUCAUUCACAAACCUUUUAAAGAUGCUUUAAAAAUAUUUGAUGGGAAAUGCCAACCAUAUUCCUUUGAAUAUUUGGGGAAAAAAAAGUGUUAUUUAGAGGAGAAGUUUAAAAACUACACUCAAAUGCACAGUAACUGUUGUUCUGCUCGGAUGGAACAGAUCACCACCACAUCUGGUGUUGCAAAGAAAGUCUCUGUCACAUUAUCAAGGCACAAGACCCUACCUGUGCUUCACAAAGAGAAACCUUCCUAGUGUUUACACAGGUGGGCUGUGCAAAGGGUGUGAAGACUGUUGGCAGCUAUGCAAAAGGCUCAAUUGAAAGUGUGAGAGCAAGUACAUUUUCAGGGGUGAACUGUUUAAAAUACACAUUUUUUAAAGCAUAGUGAAUUGAAUUCCGUGUUCGCAAAAGGCAAAUAUAAGACGAACAGGUCAGA